UUGGGCUAAUCACAACUACUCAAGCACGCAGUAAAGCUAAUAACCAGAUAUACACCAAUUCUGAGUAGAAAUAUAUGUACUAAUAGCCUACAAAU